rnacentral:rRNA from 1 species
GUGCAGCAGUCGCGAAAACUUCACAAUGUGCGAAAGCACGAUGAGGGAAUCCCAAGUGCUUGCUCGUAAGAGUAAAGCUGUUUCUCUGUCUAAAACGCAGAGAGAGUAAGGGCUGGGUAAGACGGGUGCCAGCCGCCGCGGUAGUACCUGCAGCUCGAGUGGUGGCCGCUAUUAUUGGGCCUAAAACGGUCCGUAGCCGGUUUAUUAAAUGCCUGGGGUAAAUCGGACCGCUUAACGGUUCGAAUUCCGGGUAGACUGAUAAACUUGAGACCGGGAGAAGCUAGAGGUACUCCUGGGGUAGAGGUGAAAUUCUGUAAUCCUAGGGGGACCACCAGUGGCGAAGGCGUCUAGCUAGAACGGGUCUGGCGGUGAGGGACGAAGCCCUGGGGCGC